rnacentral:lncRNA from 1 species
UUCGAGAGAGCUUUCCGUGGCCACCUGAUUCGUCUGAAUCGGAGUUCUGUGGAGGAAGUUAUGGCCGUUUUACGGAGACUGCCAGAUCUUGGUUUCCUGCGAAAAUCUGACUCCAGCUCUGAUCUUCUCGACUGUAUCCCGCUCAGCUUUCACCGUUGGAUGGACAACGAUCUAUGAAAGUCCCAAGAGAGAAAUAAGCCCCACACGUUUUUCUUCCCUGCGCCCCACAGCUCUCAAAACCCUAAUAUUUUAUCAGUCUGUUUUCCUGAGAGCUGACAGCUGUAUUUAAUUAAAAUUAAAUACGUGUGGGCACAGAAUUAGUGUAGGAGGCGUUUUUCUCUCCUUCUAGGGCUAGGAGACAUUGGGCCAGUCCAGGGACCAGAUACAAGGAAUAAAGAUGGGCCUCAAAUAAAUUAAUUUAUCUAUGGUCAGCCCAGACCAUAAUUAAUUUAUAAAUAUCAGUUCAUUCCACUAGAGAACCG